UACAGAGGUCUCAAGCGUUAAUCGGAAUUACUGGGCGUAAAGCGUGCGUAGACGGUUUCGUAAGUCGGGUGUGAAAGCCCCGGGCUCAACCUGGGAAUUGCAUUCGAGACUGCGGAGCUAGGGUGCGGAAGAGGGAAGCGGAAUUUCCGGUGUAGCGGUGAAAUGCGUAGAUAUCGGAAGGAACAUCAGUGGCGAAAGCGGCUUCCUGGUCCAGCGCCGACGUUCAGGCACGAAAGCGUGGGGUG
rnacentral:rRNA from 1 species